UGUAGGGUUCUAGCAGAAUGCAACUUAUCUGCAAUGUUGGAGGAGGCAAAAAAAUAAGUUUGUCAGAUGUCAUCAUGGAGUCAGACCAUUGGUUUAUCUGACCCGAUAUCGCCAACUCAAAUUGGUGGCACUCCUCAAGAGUCUCAGUCUUACUUACCUGAGCUUUUAGCUGGAGAUGCUAGGAAUGGAAGCGGAGAUUUUCUUUUAGCAAGGUGCAUACUAUCUCCAAGCUACAGCUUGUCCCCAUAUAGACAUCAAGGGCCUUUCUAACCCAGUCUGUAUGUGUAGGUGGAAAUAGCUUGGAAUCCUAUAGAGCUGCAUUUUGAUAAGCCAUUGGUCUUUCUCUACUUCCUGGCCAUUCUCAGCAUUGGCCUGUUUCAUGGUGUCUUUUGUUUUUGCCCAGAAUUCCCUGCGAUCGUGACAACAUUGGCCGUUAUUGGCAAAUCUGCUCUUGCCGCUUCCUUUUCAACCAGUUAUGUCUUCUCUUCGGAGGUCUUCCCCACAGUCGUCAGGCAAACGGGGUUGGGAUUGUGCUCUAUGGCUGCUCGGGUGGCCGGCAUCCUCUCCCCGCUGGUUGGGCUCCUGGACAAGAUCCACCCGGCUAUUCCCAUGUCACUCUUGGGAGCCACGGCACUCCUUGGGGGUGGGCUUUGUUUCCUGCUGCCAGAGACCCGGAACAAAGACCUCCAAGAUGACACCACUGCCAAAUCCACCUUUGACAUGGGGUCCGAGAAGGUCGCCAAUGGUAGCUCUGAAAAAGGAAGGACAGAACAGAAGGAAGGUGGACAAAGCACAGAACCCACCAAGAGCACAUACUUCUAGUGGCAAAUAACAAAUCCCUGUGUAAUUCAAAAGAAUGGGACAUAGGGUUUUCUAGAGAGGAAAAUGUCCUUGGUUUUUUAAACUCUAGACUUCCCAACCUCAUGUUUUCUGGUUCUUCCAGAAAGUAUGGAGUCCAUCACAUCUAAGUGAUCCAGAAGGACCCUGCUUUUCCACUACGUUUUAAAAACACACUCAUUAGGAAAUAUUGCUGUUCCAUUAUACAGAAUCCCUUGGAAUAGAGUUAAAGAAACAGUCUUCUUUUUUGGAACAGUUGAUGUACUUCAAUGCAAAUCAGUGUUGAUCAAUGAACUCUAUGGCAGAGAUGUGCUUCCACAUGCUGCUGGACUUAAUUUCUAAUGUCCAUUCUCCAUUGGCUAUGCUAGUAAGAACAGCAUAAUAGCUGCCAUCUAUUAAUAUCUGGAGGGCCACAAGUUGCUCAGAUUUAAAGUAUUAUUUCUUGGCGAUAUGCCUACCCUUUCUACAUAUGUGUUUGUCUACCAUUUAUGGCAGAUAAUAUUAUUGGUACCAAAGAGUAUCCAACUUAUUCCUGGUCUCUGUCACUUUCUCCUAUAUCCAACAAUAGAUUCAUUCUAUUUUUUGCUCACAGCUAUCAUUCCAUCUAAAACACACACACACACCACUUUUAUAGUAUAUGCACUGUUCUAUAUUGCUAUCCUUUCAAUAAUAAUGUAUUUUUGGACCUGAGAGCUGCAUGACAAAUUUUGGAGACACACUCCAAAGGAGUAGUACAUGUAUUAGACUUGGAAGUAUGGAUUAGUUUACUUAGGAAAUAAAAACAAUCGUCCUGUA